rnacentral:misc_RNA from 1 species
CCGAGUUGCAAAACUCCCAAACCACUGUGAACCUUACCUAUCGUUGCUUCGGCGGAUCCGCCCCGGCGCUCUCGCGACCGGAUCCAUGGCGCCCGCCGGGGGAAAAACACAAACCCUCUGAAUCUCUGUGGAUUAUCUGAGUGGCGAAAGCAAAAAUGAAUCA